CCCCAUUCAGAUAAGUGAUCUUCAGAGCUUAUUGAAUCAACUAAUUUCAUCAUCAUCCGCUCUGGCUGUUUCAUCAGGUUCAGGAUCCGCAGACGGGACAGACGAUUGGAACGGGUCGCAAAGUGGGAAGAUUGUUUGAGCUCACAUCACUUCGGAUUUCAUCUCCUUCUUCCAUCUCUGCUUCGGUCACUGAUUCUGACACAUAUCAGUGGCAUCUUCGUCUUGGUCAUGCUUCCUCUGAAAAACUUCGUCAUUUAAUUUCUGUUAACAAUUUGACUAAUCUUACUAAAUUUGUUCCUUUUAAUUGUUUGAAUUGCAAACUUGCUAAACAACCUGCCUUAUCUUUUUCUCAAUCCAUCUCUAAUUGUGAUAAACC